rnacentral:misc_RNA from 1 species
AUAGAACUGGUCUUCCUUCUGCAAAUUUCCGAGGACCCAAUCAAGAAAGCCCUUUUCCUCUUUACUGCCACCUGCUUCCUUUGCUGCUGUGGCUGCAUACACUCUAAAAGUAGGAGGAGCGAAGGCAAUUGGGAGAGAAGCCAUUAUCUUUUCUACUAGCUAGCUCUGCUUUAUUUUCUUCCUCUCAAAUGUGCAGGUGAGGAUAGUGAAACUAUCGAGAGGGUAUGGCUAUGGUAAUAUAUUUCUUUUUUCUUGGCUAUUGGUAUAGUGAAAUUAUAGUCGUUGGAUGGGUGUUGAGAGAUGGAGGAAGUGCUUGUGCCACGAGCUCUCCACAAGUGGCUUAUCUUGAUUGCUGCUCUUGCAUAUUUCUAAUGGUUUUUAUUUUUUUAAUAUUUU